AGGAUAAACGCUGGCGGCGUGCAUGAGACAUGCAAGUCGAACGGACGAUCGAGGCUUGCCUUGAUCGUUAGUGGCGGACGGCUGAGUAACGCGUAGGUGACCUGCCCCGAAGUGGGGAAUAACUGCCCGAAAGGGUGGCUAAUACCGCAUGUGGUGGUGUGUUCAUUCACACCAGUAAAGCCGCAAGGCGCUUCGGGAGGGGCCUGCGUCCGAUUAGCUCGUUGGUGGGGUAACGGCUCACCAAGGCGACGAUCGGUAGGUGGUCUGAGAGGACGAUCACCCAGACUGGGACUGAGACACGGCCCAGACUCCUACGGGAGGCAGCAGUCGGGAAUUUUGCGCAAUGGACGAAAGUCUGACGCAGCAACGCCGCGUGAGGGAUGAAGGCCUUCGGGUUGUAAACCUCUUUUAUCAGGGAAGAUAAUGACGGUACCUGAUGAAUAAGUCACGGCUAACUACGUGCCAGCAGCCGC
rnacentral:rRNA from 1 species